rnacentral:rRNA from 1 species
GCUUUAGGUGUAGUUAGGGGAUUACCUUACUAGUGAUUUAUUUCAGGUGUUAACGAAUUUUCUGUUGAUGUUAGUAACUGUAGAGGGAAAACUGUGUUGUUUGGAGCUAGAGUGGAUAAGUACCGUGAGGGAAAAUUGGUUUGUUGUUAAACUUGUUUUUAGUAGGGGUUAAAGCCUGUACCUUUUGCAUCAUGGUUUUUUAAGAGGUUUUUUGAAUAAGGUUGGCCCGAAAGAAAACGAGCUAUUUUUUGGCUUGCGUCAUCGUUGUAAAGAUGUGCUAAGACCUGGGAAUAGGAGUGAUAUUCUUUUCGCGUUUUCUGAUAGCUGGUUGAUCGGGAAGGGCAUUAAAGUGCUGGCUUAAUUUAUGGUUUUUGUAGUUGCAGGGGUUCGUUUUGGCGGGCCUAUAUGUGGGUAAAAACAUGGGGAUUAGGUCUUGCGUAGAAAAGGAUUAGCUUUUCUAUGUUGCUAAAAAGUGUGUGAUUAUGGUAAGAUGCGGUUUAGUAGGCUUGGAGUUGGUCAUCUUUUAAGUUUGUUUUAAAAUAUCUGUUUAUUGUGACUAAAAAUUUAUGUGUGCAUUUUUAGUAGGUUAAUAAGGAGUACCGAUUUUACUGAUGUAAUUAAAUUAAUUUGUGAUAUAAUGAGAAAAUGAGUAUUUAUUUAUGUUUUGUCUAUCCUUGUUUAUUAAGGUAAUUGGAUUAAGGAUUAGUGACUUUAGUGAAAUAGCAAGUAGAAAUCUGAAAAAGGAACUCGGCAAAUAUCGGCCUCGCCUGUUUAGCAAAAACAUGGCUCCUUGUGUUUUAGGUGGAUAAGGAGUCGGACCUGCCCGGUGACCUACGGGUUAAACGGCCGCGGUACACUGACCGUGCAAAGGUAGCACAAUCACUUGCCUUUUAAUUGGAGGCUGGUAUGAAUGGUUUGACGAGGGCUGAGCUGUCUCUUUUGGAAUAUUUAAAAAUUAACUUCUAGGUGAAAAGGCCUAGAUUGAGCUGAGGGACGAGAAGACCCUGUUGAGCUUUAGUGUUGAAUAAAGGUUUAUAUUUCCUAGUUGAAUUUAGAGGUUUAAGUUUAUUCUUACAUCUUUAGUUGGGGUGACUGGGGAACAAAAGUAGCUUCUCUACUUAUUACUGGGUUUGGCUUGCUAGCUAAUGAUCCGGCAUUGCUGAUUAUUGGAAAAAGUUACCACAGGGAUAACAGCGUAAUCUUUUUGGAGAGUUCAUAUUGAAAAAAGGGUUUGCGACCUCGAUGUUGGAUUAAGGUGUCCUAAGGGUGUAGCAGCUCUUGUUGGUUGGUCUGUUCGACCAUUAAAACCUUACAUGAUCUGAGUUCAGACCGGCGUAAGCCAGGUUGGUUUCUAUCUUCGGUUUAUUAGGUUUCUUUGACUAGUACGAAAGGACCGUUAUUAAGACAAAUAAUAUGUUUGUUUGGGCUGAGCUUGUCUAAGUUUAGGAUGAAAAUGUUUAUAGUUUGU